rnacentral:lncRNA from 1 species
UGCAGGACUUGCUCUUACCGCCAGGCUCCCUGUGCCCCGCGAUUCCUUCCGCAGCAAAGACCACCACUCUCGGAGCACGGCUUCUAAGGCCGCAGAUCAGGAACUUGGAUAUUCUUACUCAAAGGCGCAGCCUUUACUGUGCAGCAGUGCACCUUCAACAUCUGGAAAAUGCUGGAAGUUACAGAUGUUUAAUUGCCAAAAUAUAAAAAGUUGGCAAGGAGUCAUUUGGUGUCCAUUCUCUUGCUGGACGAUUCUGGAUGGAGCCGACAGAUACAAGGAGUCAUCACUAAAAAUGUCAGGAAGGUGGUGCUCUAAGUGAAUUCAGGUGAGUCCUUGAAAGAAAAAAACCAGGAUUGAAAGAAAACAUUUAUUGAAUCAAAAUCAAUACUUUCUUUUUUAAUAUCUACAAGCCAACAAUGAAUUCACUUCAUUCAAGAAUGAACACAAAUGUACAAAAAAAGUAUGCUUAUAUUAUAAAAAUAUGUCAAUUUUAUCUCCUGGGUGCUGAGCAGAAGUCAUUUUAAACAAAAUCAAGGCCAACUUGUUCCCUAUAACGAAACCUCUCCAAUUUCCUAACCGAAGUGAAAGCGGAUGUAGAGCCCGCUGAUGCUGCUGCCCCACUCAGAGGCGGACGCUGGCCCCCCCGGCUCUCAGGCACCACUACCUGCCUGCACAGGAAGGCACCUCUUCCACCCAACACAUCACUGCUAGCACAGUCUUCCUGCGGCUUCUCUUGCUUAACAGUUGUUAGCAUCUAUUUCAGCAAAGUAGUAACAGGAUAAAGAAUUCUGAGCACAAAAAUCCUACUUAUUUAAUCAGCUUCAAUUUAAAAAUGAGAUCCACUGCUAUGGACAACAAACGACCUCUCAAGAUUUUACAAUCCCAUUUAUGAAGGUGGGAAAGCUGCUGCCCUCCACUCUCAAACAUCUUUAAAGCCUCCAUAGGAAAAAUGUAUGACCAGGGUUAGCAUCUCCGUCACGCCACUCACCGGCACCUUUGCAGCACCUGGCCUGGGCUGUGCGGCGAAGGCCCGCGCGCUCCUGCUCCCGUGGAGCACAGUUCGCGUGCUCUAGUGAUGGGGAGACAUGAAUACCGAAGUCCUCAAGAGCUGAGGCAGAGGGACAGUGGCUCCUGGAUGCUGUUCCAGGAGUUAUGUGACAAUACAGAACACUGCUCUCCCCAUGCUGACAAAGCCAAGGAAACCCCGUCCGUGCACGGCGGUGUCCUGGAGGAGGAGUGGCAAGGGCACGCAGGCGAAUCCUGGAACGCAGCAUCCAUAGUGAAGUAAAGACAACAGAUGGAUUAAAGGGUAAAUUACUCAACUGCCUCUCUCUGCUUGGCAUGGACACAUCUGAAGGCCCAAAACUGCAAGAUACAAGGAUCUCCUCCUGGUUCACCACUCUGCUGGGUAAAUAAAGCAACUUCAGAAAUGCUUUGUUUUACAUAAACCAAAGGUUUCUUAAAUUACCUGGGACUAAGCUUUUCCCUGGGAAAGGGGCUAAAUGAAGGCAGAAGAGAAAACUAUCGUGUUCCUCUAUGCAAACACUAAUCCCUUAUAGCUCUCUAAGUUUUCCAUUAAGCGCCAUUUCCUGCAUGAAAUGUUAACCCUACCAAAGGUAGAUAGGCCUGAACUGGACAUAGGAUUUAAACAUUUAAUACUACACUGACUCUGGCUUAAUUUAACCCUAUGCUCUACUACAUGACAGAAGCAUUUAUAGAAAUAUUUGAAAUACACAAAAUUUGUGAAAGAUAAACAUUUUGGAACCUGAGCAAAGGCUUCUUACCAAUACCAUAAAAAGUCACCGUACUGGUCGUUCUCACAGGCAGCGAUUCAGCCAGGUCAGUGUGCUGCUUUUGGCAACUUAGCCAAACUGAAGCCCAAUACACUGCUGCCAGAAACAACUGGAUACCAGCACAUUACACAGAAGACAUAGAAAGGGAACAAGAGCCCAAAGAAUGAACAGCUGGCAGGAUGAAGGCGCUGCUCAGAGUUGCCGGGAUGGGUCUCCCCACAACAUACCUGUUCACUACCACACGUCCUAGCCCUCAAAGUACAUGUGCUGCACACUUACACCGAAGGCAUGCCUUGGGGAUGCCAGCCUUUCUCUUACUGCAGUUCUAGUCAGACAGACCAAAAAGUCAAGACGUCUGGAAAUAAGCUACCAAGUUAGCUUUCUCUGUGGACGACUGACACGACUUGGUGCCACAGCAAAACUCUCUAAUAGCAGCAGUACCAGCCCGUGGCAGAAGAGAAACACUCAUUUCUCACAUCCCAUGGGCCACCACAUCAACUCCAUCAAGCAUGCAAAUAUCUAUUCUGCUGAAGUUUCAAACAAAUAUAAACGAUCAUUGUGCUUGUGGGUCUCAUACCUUCCCAAGGUGGCAAGUUAACUUAGCAGUAAAAUCACAGGGCGGAAAUGAAAUGUCUACGAUGGGAAAACUGCGGGCUGGUGCCGGCAGUCCCAGAACAUAUCAUGCUCAGUAGGGUCAGACCCUCCCGCCCGCGCCCUGGGCACUGCAGUCCUGUCUCGAGUGCCCACAGCGUGGUCUCAGGGCAGAGCAGCAGCAUCACUGGCGUGGUCGCAGGGGUGGGCAAGGUGCCCGUCAACUUCUUUUGUAGUUAAGGACGAAAGAAUGCAAUCACAAGACAAAGUGACAGAGUAGUGGGCAGAGAAAAUAUCGAAGUUCACAAUGACCUGUAAAAGCAAAACAAGAAUUCAAAUUAUUUUCACACUUUCAGGCUUUAUCUUUCUUAAAAGCAGUCUGUGUUUAAGUGCUAACCCUGCAAUCACUUCACUGUGCAUGAGACUGUUUGAUGCCUGUAGUUAAAGGAUCAACCUCACUCCUUGUUUCAAAGAUGCACGCAAGUGUAUCCUGUCAUAAGACUCGGGCGAAAGUCUCCCCUCCGCCCC